AGUAAAAGUCGUAACAAGGUUUCCGUAGGUGAACCUGCGGAAGGAUCAUUAAUGGAUUUUUGGGGAUUGAUGCUGGCCCGAAUGGGUACUGUGCUCGCCCUAAUCAUUAUUCAUACACCUGUGCACCUUUGGGGGAAUAAGGGAGACCUUUUUCUUUUUCCCCCUUGAUCAUAAACACCCUUUAUUGAACUGAAGAAUGUUGAUGGCGACCUGAAUGGUCAUUAAUAAAAAAUACAACUUUUAACAACGGAUCUCUUGGCUCUCGCAUCGAUAAAGAACGCAGCGAAUUGCGAUAAGUAAUGUGAAUUGCAGAAUUCAGUGAAUCAUCGAAUCUUUGAACGCACCUUGCACUCUCUGGUAUUCCGGAGAGUACGCCUGUUCGAGUGUCGUGAAAUUCUCAAGUCUUAGACUUUUAUCGGUCUUUGAUUUGGUUUUGGGCUUUGCUGUGUGAUAACGGCUGGUCUUGAAAGCAUUAGCUGGGUCUCGGAUUGAGAUUGGUUCUACUCGGCGUGAUAAGUUACUGAUCGCUGAGGACAUUCCAUUAGGGAUGGCCAGACUCUUUACCUUGAACUGCUUCUAAUCGCGAUGUUCGCAAUCCAUUCACGUUUGACCUCGAAUCAGGUGGGAUUACCCGCUGAACUUAAGCAUAUCAAUAAGCGGAGGA
rnacentral:rRNA from 1 species